CUAGUUGACGUCGGUGACCUCGUCGGUGGAGGAAACCAAAAGUGGAGUAGGUCAAGACUGACCGAACCACUCUAAAUCUCUGGUUUGCGUUUAUUUUGAGCACUUUAUCAUUACUGCAAACCUCCUUCAUAACUACUGCUCUCUGCGCUUUUACGAACAAGUUCUAAGUGCUGUUCUUUCCGAAUCUGCAUUCAGACGUAAAUCGGUGUUUUCGUACAUUACAGUUU
rnacentral:lncRNA from 1 species